UACGUAGGGUGCGAGCGUUAAUCGGAAUUACUGGGCGUAAAGCGUGCGCAGGCGGUGAUGUAAGACCGAUGUGAAAUCCCCGGCUUAACCUGGGAACUGCAUUGGUGACUGCAUUGCUGGAGUAUGGCAGAGGGGGGUGGAAUUCCACGUGUAGCAGUGAAAUGCGUAGAGAUGUGGAGGAACACCGAUGGCGAAGGCAGCCCCCUGGGCCAAUACUGACGCUCAUGCACGAAAGCGUGGGGAGCAAACAGG
rnacentral:rRNA from 1 species